rnacentral:rRNA from 1 species
GACGAACCGUCCAAACGUUAUUCGGAAUCACUGGGCUUACAGAGUUCGUAGGCGGUCUGGAAAGUUGGGUGUGAAAUCCCUCGGCUCAACCGAGGAACUGCGCUUGAAACUACCAGACUCGAGGGAGAUAGAGGAAAGCGGAACUGAUGGUGGAGCGGUGAAAUGCGUUGAUAUCAUCAGGAACACCGGUGGCGAAGGCGGCUUUCUGGGUCUUACCUGACGCUGAGGAACGAAAGCCAGGGGAGACGAACGGG